rnacentral:rRNA from 1 species
ACGUGAUCUGAGUUCAGACCGGAGUAAUCCAGGUCAGUUUCUAUCUAUAAAGGAAGUUUUUCUAGUACGAAAGGACCGAAAAAACAUGGCCUAUACUUUAUGCAAGCCAUAAUUAUUAACUUAUGACUAAAUCUUAAUAAGCACUUUAUCCACUACAAACCUCAAGAAAAGAGGA